CUCGUUUAGUGAUUGGUGGACGGUAAACCAUCUGCAAACUCCUCCAAAUAAUGUUAGGUGAAAUACGUCUCUCGCGAAAAUCCACUAGCAAUCACAACAUCUAGUUUUCCUUCUGCAAAUUGAACAUUCUGGAAUUGAAAACGUCGACGAAGAAAGAGAAAAAAGGACCCAGUCUUCACGAUGAAGAUAUCGUACUUCAGCAUUGUUUGUUUGCUGGUGACAAUUUUUGGUUCGCGAGGUUUCGCCAACGCAUACCUUGGAUGUCCUAAACCAAACCCAUGUAUAUACUAUACUGAUAAUUCAGCAAUCAAGGCCAUCGAUGUCAAUGCUUCCAGAUAUCCCAACACUAACAUACGAACCGUAGUGAAGGCACCUUCGUACGCAAUCGAUAUUGAUAUGUCCGCUGACAUGAUAUACUGGAGCGAACAGUCGCCAUCUUGGAAGAUACGUCGAAUGAACCUUAAGAAUGGGAGAAUCGAGGAUCUCAUUACUA